GCAAAACUUUGAAGCUGCUUCUCCAGCUUAAAAUGGAUGUGAGCAUUGCCGUGACGCUGAUUCGGGGCCAGAUGGGUGCCGUGGUAGAGCGGGCGGUGAACGGGGCGGUGGAGACCGUGCUGGCCGAGAUGCUCAAAGUGGUCGGAGUCAAGUUUGAGGAGCUGAAAUGCCAGGUGGCGCUGAUAAAGAGGGACGUCGCGACGUUGGAGAGGGAGAAGGUCCUGAAGGAGAAGGAGAACGACAACAUUCGAGCCAAGCUGCGCUACACCGAGCUGAAGCUGAAGUACUACAGGCAAGGAGUGGAGGAGGAGCUGCAGCAGAGGGCCUCCGGUGCUCUCCAAGCACACAGAGACGCCGAAGGUGUUUCCUCCACCGAGGCCUCCCAGUCAUGCUUCACUCAGACCAGGACUUCAAGCGGUCACGCUUUGUUCUGUCCCGCAGAGCGAGACACGGCUCAGAGCAACGAGCAGGAGGGCGACAGUAAGUGGACCUUCCAUCUGCCGCCACACGCCGAAGGCAGCGACGCGGCGGCGACCCCUCCGGUCCGACCCGUCUCCCUGGAUCCGGGGCAGCAGUCGGCCAACGGCUCUCCGUCCCACGAUGGCUCCGCGCAGGCCGAUAGCUCCACUCUGCCCUCCUCUGCUCCACAGGGGAAACUCUGUAGUUUCAGAAGGACAUAUAGUCACAUAUAACCAUAUGAAUCAGUCCAAUGGACAGGAUGAGUGUUUUAAAUGUGAAGCAGGAGGCCCCGGAGCUGCUACAGGAGGAAGAGGAGGUGAUCUGCAUCAAGGAGGAGCCAAAGGAAGAUCAGGAAGUGACGGCCUCCCUUCUGCCGGACUGCCACGUGCAGCAGGGUCCUUUUCCAGUGUCAGAGGCUCAGCGGUCAGCGACGGCGUGUUUGGGACCUCCAGUGAGCCAGAGAAGUGACACCGCAGCCUUCGGCUCAGCCGGACCCAACCCCCAUCUGAUGCCUCAGCCGGUGGCCUCCCUGCUGCAGCCGAUGGUGGCUCUGCCAUGUGGCGUCCUGCCUCGCCAGGCGCCGCGGCCCUGGCCUAAAGAUCUCAGUCUUUAUGAAGAAUACAAACUGCGCCGCAAUGAGCUCCGCAGGCGAAGCAUCAACAGACGCAGAGAGCUGGAGAAGACGCUGCCUCAGCCACUACUGGCUGACCUGGUGCGAGAGCGUCGUGAGAAGACCAGACUGCGGGUGGCCAGAUGGAGGGCGAAGAGGAAACUCCAGGACUGCAUCAAGCAGGACCACUCUCUAGGUGGCGCUGCAGGUCUUUCUCCAGCGGGCUUUGCUCUCGGCAGCCAGCAUCAGCAGCCCAGAGGGACCUGCGCCUCCGGCAGCCAGCAGAGACUCUCCUCAGCUCCGCCUCCGUCCGACGGCUUCCUCUCAGACCCUCUGCCCUUCAUCCCCACCUCCUCCUCCUCCUCCUCCUCGUUUCUCUAUCUGGGAGGCCACAACAUGGCUCCGCACCAGCACACUGUGACAUCGUCAGCCUGUUGCAGCAGAUCGCCUCGUUGA
ensembl:lncRNA